ACCAUCACAACCAAGGAGACCAGGAGAGGAUCAACAGGAUGCCAUCGGGAUCCACGGAGUGUUUCCUCUUUUCUAAAUAAGCAUGAAAAGCUAGCAGGAAGAUUGAAGAGGAGACAUGGUUUAUGAAGCAUAUUUAGCAUUGUAUCUCUUCUAUCAUAUCUAUCCAGAACUUCUGAAUAACUCAGAGUGUGGAUGAAAUGGUAACUCAAGAUCUAUGCAAAUCUUACUGCUGUUGAUUCCCAUCUUGGUUAUUCAGCUGAUCCCACACUUCCCCAACUCUCAUCUCUUUGCCAAUAACAACUUACAGAAUUAAAAAUGUUGAAGCAUGGUCUAAAUUUUCAUGAGUGGAUAGUGAUUUAAGAUUGCUGAAACAGCUGGGAAUCAAGCACAUGAAAUUUUAUAGAUGCAAGAGCUAGCUUUCAACCAAUGAACUGCUGAAUGUUUUGGAGAAAAUAAGCUUAAAAACAACACAAGAACUGAAUCAUUCAAAUGAUGCACUAGAAAAUUCUGAAAUACAACUAAGCUUAUCUUCUCUGUUCUUUAUUCUUGUUCUGAAUUGCUGUGCAGUACAAAUUAAUCAUACUGACAGUAGUGCCAAUAUCAGGAUACAGACAAAACAAUAGACCUCAUCUUUGUGUUGAAAAUGCCAAUAGCAAAAAUUAGAUAUCAGCAUAGUUAGCAGCCCAGUCCAAUCCUUUAAGGGAUUACCUUCAGGAUAGUAAUUUUUGAAAACAACAAAUAAAAAAUUACACCCAAAUCACACACACACAAAAAAAAACCAAACAACAACAAAAAACCCAACAAAACAAAACGAAAAAAAAAAAAAAAAAAAAAAAAAAAAAAAAAAAAAAAAAAAAGGGGGAUACCAGGUACCACGUAAAGCCAGGUAAAAACAUAGCUUCACCGAUAUCCCUUAUAUCCCUUCCAGGUUUUAAAUGCAAGCAAAUUAGAGUAGCAAUUAGAGUAGCAGUCUUUUCAAAGCAGAGAACAAUAGUUGUUUGCAGAGUUGCAAUUCACAAUGGCAACAUAUUUUAAAAAAUUUUUAUUUUUACGGCAUGGAAAAUAUUUCCUGUCUAUUUCCAGCAACAGGAAAGAAUGAUGGCAUUUUGUCAGUGCAGAAAAUAAAGAAAGAGUAGAUCUACAUCAGUUUAUGGGAGCCAGUAAGAAAGUACUUCUGGACACUUGAAGGAAUGUAAAUUGAUUUGUAAGGCAUCCCCUGCUCUUUUCUUAAAUCAGUUUGGCAGGAGGAAAGGUUAGGAGCUGGGACUCUUCCCCUUUUCUAGACCCAUUGAGACUGGCAUCCCAAAGAUGGAUGCAAGUAAAAAUCCACUGAUGGCAUUUGUUUCAGAUCCUUCGCUGGUAGAACUUGAGGACCAACCUCAGUUCCAGGGAAAAUUCACCUCCACAUCUAACCCAAAUUUAGGAGCACAUUAGAUUCCUUACAUUUAUAUACUCAGCUAGGAUGACUGUUAUCAGACGGCUGAGUUAUCUCAUCACCCAGGGCUUUCACUUUCAAUGAUGAGAAGAAAUAGGUGUCUACAGUAAUUCAGUCUUAUCUAAGAACAUAGAUCAGAGUAAAAUGCCUUCUGAAAAUAUCUGUCAUUUCCUCUCUUCAUUGAACAGCAAAGUUCCUCACUUAAGCAGUUGAAAUUAGGAGAGGUAAAUCUGGGCCUGUUAGUCCCAGAGGCACUACAACCUUUAAAAGUGCUAAGGGUCUGCUUUAAACUUUGCAAAAGGAGUACCAGGGUUUUGCUCUUCUGUUAGUACAUGGUUAAAUUGUGCUCUUAAUGAUCUUCUUUCUGGUUAGUAAAAUUAUAAUUUAACAUUCUAUUUUCUCUUUA